AUUAAUCAAUCUUCAGUUCCUUCCGGAAGAUCGAAUCUGACGGCAUUGAGAGAAACGAAUUCUCCAUCAACCCAUUGUAGGAAUUGAUGAGAACAGGCCUAAAGCCCUCUGCCGUCAUCUCCGGUCUCAACCCUAGUAAACCUCUCCAAUCCCCUUUCACACGGGCAUGGCUUGGCGUGGCUCCAUCUCUAGGUCGAUCAUCUCCGUUGCGCGUUCGUCUCCGUCUUCCUUCCGAUCACCGGCUGCUCUACCACGUCUCCGCACUCCUCGCAUUCAACGCACUCGCCUCUUCUCUGCCUCGAGGGUGCCGUCUGAGCUAGGAAGCGCAUCAUCACUUCUUCCCCUGCAUAGCGUGAUCGCCAUUCCGCGACUCACCUCUCACCUCUCGGUCAGCGCGAGGGCGUGCUGUGAGCUGUCUCAGGGGAAGAAUGGUAAAGAUGGGUGAUUGAAGAGAGUGGUCAACUUUCUGUCAGGCGUUUCAUGCUGCUAUUCAAAUGCUGUACUUGAAGGCAGAAAUAUUGGCUUAGGAAAAAAAGGAAGCCGCCAACGUUCGAAUGACACAUUGGAGUUGUUUUGGUGGCUUUAGGAGGGAGGAAUUCCUCAAAUAUAGGCAUCUGGUAUUUUGAUAAAAAAGUUGACUUCAAUUUGAGUUAAUUCUCGGUGAAAAAUAAUUUGUGUAAUUUAUGAAAUGUUUGCAGAUGCUAUUUUCUGUUUGUGUUAUUUAUUUAUUCCCAAGACAAACCAGUUUUGUGUUUUUGUUCUUUUGAUAAAUCAUAAGAGUUCUGCUUUCACUCCA